AUAUGUCUAUGUAUAUAUUAUUGUAUUUAGCAACGUUCGUUCACAAAUGUUUAUUUAUGUUUUACGCAAAUAUUGUAGUAUUUGACUUUUGCGAUAUUCUUCGUCGUUAUUUAACGUAAACUAACGUUUCCGCGUUCGCUUUUGCAAAUAAAAAUAAAUAAAUAUCUCUCGGCAAUUGACUGCGCAAUCAAUAAUAACAAUUGUUUAUAUCGAUGUAAAAUAAAUCGUUUACUUUGAGUUUAAAUUUGAAUUUGAAAUUGAAAUUGAAAUCGAAAUCGAAUUUGAAUUGCAACACGCGCACAAUUUACGUAUGUAUGUAUGCAGGUAUUAGCAUCCAGCAAGAGUUUCGAUUUCCCAACAAUCAUCCAAGUUCAGUGGCACUCGACGCGCUCGCAGAGACCCCGCGAGUUGAUCUUUCUGGUUCUGGUUUCUGUUGUCGACUGAGCGCAGCUCG